CUGGGUGAAACACACGGCUCCCGCCCUUUCCUUCCCAGGGGCCUCCGCCGCGCCCCUGUCCCCGCAGCCAUGGUGGGGCCACUCUUGGCUCACGGCGGCCCGGCGGGAGGCGGCUCGCCGGGCAGGGGUGUUGUGUUGGCGCAGGGACAGGGUCAAUACCACAGUACACCUACCUGUGCAUCCCAGUUCUCCGCUGCAGAAAGUUUGGGAAAGGUUUGGAAGGUGUCAGCUCUGCCUCCAGAUAAGGCCGGCUAGGGCCUGUCGCGGAGUUCCCGAAGAGCGGGGUUGUGUGUGUGUGUGUGUGUGUGUGUGUGAGAGAGAGAGUGGUCUCCCGUGGUUCAUAGGCGUGAACUUGACAGAAACACAGUGCACAGCGUGGACUCGUACAGUCGUUUAGGUACCAUAGGGUGUUCAAAUGCUGAGCUGCUUACUGGUUUUGGAAAUUUAAAAAAAUACACAGCUGAAAUGGCACAAGUUGACUUGGCUCAACAGAGGGUGCAAGUGAAGACCACUAGCUUCAGCAUAAGAGAAGUACGGCAGCACAGCCAGGAACCAGGAAAGCAGACAGACACAAAACUGUU